AGAGCAUCGGGUGGAUGCCUUGGCACUGGGAGCCGAAGAAGGACGUGAUAAGCUGCGAUAAGCUGCGGUAAGGAGCACAUAUCCGAUAUACCCGCAGAUUUCCGAAUGGGGGAACCCACAUACGGUAAUGCGUAUGUAUCAUUAAGUGAAUACAUAGCUUAAUGAAGGGAACGGGGUGAACUGAAACAUCUAAGUAGCCCUAGGAAGAGAAAGAAAAAUCGAUUUCCUGAGUAGCGGCGAGCGAAAGGGAAAGAGGCCAAACCAAAUUGUUUACAGUUUGGGGUUGUGGACCACCGACAUUGACGAAGUUAUGCGAGCCGAAUAGGGUUGGAAAGCUCAAGCAGAGAAGGUAAUACUCCUGUAGGCGAAGCAGAAAGCGCAUAGGUGGCACCAGAGUAGGACCGGACACGUGUAACCCGGUCUGAAGCAGGAGGGACCACCCUCCAAGCCUAAAUACUACCCAGUGACCGAUAGCGAAUAGUACCGUGAGGGAAAGGUGAAAAGAACCCCGGGAGGGGAGUGAAAUAGAAUCUGAAACCUGAUGCUUACAAGCAUAGGGAGCGCAAGUGACCUAGUACUUUUUGUAGAACGGGCCAACGAGUUAUGGUAUGUAGCGAGGUUAAGUUGCUGGAGCAACGGAGCCGUAGAGAAAUCGAGUCUGAAUAGGGCGAGAGUUACAUGCUGUAGACCCGAAACCGGGUGACCUAUCCAUGAGCAGGUUGAAGUAACCGUAAAAGGUUAUGGAGGACCGAACCUAUAUCUGUUGAAAAAGGUUAGGAUGACUUGUGGAUAGCGGUGAAAUUCCAAUCGAACUCGGAUAUAGCUGGUUCUCCUCGAAAUAGCUUUAGGGCUAGCCUCAAGGUAAAGAUACACGGGGGUAGAGCACUGACUGUUCGCGGGGCCUUCACCGGUUACCAACAACUAUCAAACUCCGAAUACCGUGGUAUCAUACUUGGGAGUCAGACUAUGAGAGAUAAGUUCCAUGGUCGAAAGGGAAACAGCCCAGAUCAACAGCUAAGGUCCCAAAGAGUAAGUUAAGUGGAAAAGGAUGUGGGAUUGCACAAACAGCUAGGAUGUUGGCUUAGAAGCAGCCAUACAUUUAAAGAGUGCGUAAUAGCUCACUAGUCGAGUGAUCCUGCGCCGAAGAUAAACGGGGCUCAAACUUACCACCGAAGCUUUGGAAUUAGUAUAACUAAUUGGUAGAGGAGCAUUCUAUACAGGUAGAAGGAGGCGCGUAAGCAAAUCUGGACGGUAUAGAAGAGAGAAUGUUGGCAUGAGUAGCGUAAGGCGGGUGAGAAUCCCGUCCGCCGAAAAUCUAAGGUUUCCUGAGGAAGGUUCGUCCUCUCAGGGUAAGUCGGGACCUAAGCCGAGAGCGAACGCUGUAGGCGAUGGACAACAGGUUGAUAUUCCUGUACCACCAAGGAUUGUUUGAAUGAAGUGGGGACACAGAAGGAUAGAUUGAGCACGCCGUUGGUUGAGCGUGUCCAAGCAGCAAGGCUUGAAAGUAGGCAAAUCCGCUUUCUACAAGGCUGAGCUGUGAUGGGGUGGUCGAAUGACCGGUAGCAAUCGAUUUCACGCUGUCAAGAAAAGCCGCUAAUGAGAUCCAAGGUGCCCGUACCGCAAACCGACACAGGUAGAUGAGGAGAGAAUCCUAAGGUGAGCGAGCGAACUAUUGUUAAGGAACUCGGCAAAAUAACCCCGUAACUUCGGGAGAAGGGGUGCCUGCUUCGGCAGGCCGCAGUGAAGAGGUCCAGGCAACUGUUUACCAAAAACACAGGUCUCUGCUAAAGCGAAAGCUGAUGUAUAGGGGCUGACGCCUGCCCGGUGCUGGAAGGUUAAGGGGAAGUGUUAGGGCAACCGAAGCACAGAACUUAAGCCCCAGUAAACGGCGGCCGUAACUAUAACGGUCCUAAGGUAGCGAAAUUCCUUGUCGGGUAAGUUCCGACCCGCACGAAAGGCGUAAUGAUCUGGGCACUGUCUCAACAAUAGACUCGGUGAAAUUGUAGUACCGGUAAAGAUGCCGGUUACCCGCAGCAGGACGGAAAGACCCCGUGGAGCUUCACUGUAGCUUGAUAUUGAUUUUCGGCAUUGCAUGUACAGGAUAGGUGGGAGACGUUGAGUUCAGCACGCCAGUGUUGGAGGAGUCACCGUUGGGAUACCACCCUUGUAAUGUUGGAAAUCUAACCUAGUACCGUGAUCCGGUACAGGGACAGUGUCAGGUGGGCAGUUUGACUGGGGCGGUCGCCUCCUAAAGAGUAACGGA
rnacentral:rRNA from 1 species